rnacentral:rRNA from 1 species
GACGAACGCUGGCGGCGUGCUUAACACAUGCAAGUCGAACGGAAAGGCCCUGCUUUUGUGGGGUGCUCGAGUGGCGAACGGGUGAGUAACACGUGAGUAACCUGCCCUUGACUUUGGGAUAACUUCAGGAAACUGGGGCUAAUACCGGAUAGGAGCUCCUGCUGCAUGGUGGGGGUUGGAAAGUUUCGGCGGUUGGGGAUGGACUCGCGGCUUAUCAGCUUGUUGGUGGGGUAGUGGCUUACCAAGGCUUUGACGGGUAGCCGGCCUGAGAGGGUGACCGGCCACAUUGGGACUGAGAUACGGCCCAGACUCCUACGGGAGGCAGCAGUGGGGAAUAUUGCACAAUGGGCGGAAGCCUGAUGCAGCAACGCCGCGUGCGGGAUGACGGCCUUCCGGUUGUAAACCGCUUUCGCCUGUGACGAAGCGUGAGUGACGGUAAUGGGUAAAGAGGCACCGGCUAACUACGUG